rnacentral:rRNA from 1 species
AGAGUUUGAUCAUGGCUCAGGACGAACGCUGGCGGCGUGCCUAACACAUGCAAGUUGAGCGACGAACCAGGGCUUGCCCUGGGGCAAAGCAGCGAACGGGUGAGUAACACGUGGGUAACGUGCCCCGAUAACCGGGACAACCCGAGGAAACUCGGGCUAAUACCGGAUGUGCCCAUCAGACACCAGUCUGAUGUGUAAAGGAAGCUUCGGCCUCCGUAUCGGGAGCGGCCCGCGGCCCAUUAGUUAGUUGGUGAGGUAACGGCUCACCAAGACCGCGAUGGGUAGCUGGUCUGAGAGGACGAUCAGCCACACUGGGACUGAGACACGGCCCAGACUCCUACGGGAGGCAGCAGUGGGGAAUCUUGCGCAAUGCGCGAAAGCGUGACGCAGCAACGCCGCGUGGGGGAAGAAGGCCUUCGGGUUGUAAACCCCUUUCAGGAGGGACGAAGGUGCGACGGUGAAUAGCCGUUCGCACUGACGGUACCUCCACAAGAAGCCCCGGCUAACUACGUGCCAGCAGCGGCGGUAAUAC